UGGGGAAUAUUGCACAAUGGGCGAAAGCCUGAUGCAGCAACGCCGCGUGAGUGAUGAAGGCCUUCGGGUUGUAAAGCCCUGUCUUUUGGGGACGAUAAUGACGGUACCAAAGGAGGAAGCCACGGCUAACUACGUGCCAGCAGCCGCGGUAAUACGUAGGUGGCAAGCGUUGUCCGGAUUUACUGGGCGUAAAGGAUGCGUAGGCGGAUUUUUAAGUGAGAUGUGAAAACCCUAAGCUUAACUUGGGGACUGCAUUUCAUACUGGAAAUCUAGAGUGCGGGAGAGGAGAAUGGAAUUCCUAGUGUAGCGGUGAAAUGCGUAGAGAUUAGGAAGAACACCAGUGGCGAAGGCGAUUCUCUGGACCGUAACUGACGCUGAGGCAUGAAAGCGUGGGUAGCAAACAGGAUUAGAUACCCUGGUAGUCCACGCCGUAAACGAUGAGUACUAGGUGUAGGAGGUAUCGACCCCUUCUGUGCCGCAGUUAACACAAUAAGUACUCCGCCUGGGAAGUACGAUCGCAAGAUU
rnacentral:rRNA from 1 species